CAAAAUUUCUUAACAAAGGAAACCUGUUAAGCAACAAGGGAAUAUUUUCUGCAAAUUUUUUUCAUGUUAGCAUCUCUAAGCACAGUGCUGAGGAGUACAAGAAUGACAUUAACUAAUAAUAUGAAAAUUGGAGGAACAAGACACCCCAUCUUCUCACUCCAGCUAUUUCUCUGGCUAUUCUGCAUGCUUGGAAUGUUCUCCCUCACCAUCUCUGCUUCCUGGAUUUCCUGACUUCCUUCAAGUCCUGUGCUAAAAUCCAACCUUAAACAAUAAGCUUUUCUUCAACCCUCUUUAGUCUACUGCCUUACUUAUGAAUGAUUAGUUAAUUAAUUAUUGUCAAUUUAUCCUUUAUUUAGCUUGUUUAUUCAUAGCUGUUUUAUGUUAUUUCCCUCAUUAAUUCUUAAUAAUCAAGGUCAGGAUGAUAGGGAACUGUAGUAAAGAAUGAAUAAGAAGGGGGCAGCUAGGUGGCUUAGGCCUAAAGAUGGGAGGUCCUGGGUUCAAAUCUAGCUUCAGACACUUCCUAGUUGUGUGACCCUGGACAAGUCACUUAACACUCAUUGUCUAGUUUUUGCCAUUCUUCUGCCUUGAAAUCA
rnacentral:lncRNA from 1 species